rnacentral:rRNA from 1 species
CCUACGGGAUGCUACAGUGAGGCAUAUUGGUCAAUGGCCGAGAGGCUGAACCAGCCAAGUCGCGGGAGGGAAGCCGGCCCUACGGGUUGUAAACCUCUUUUGUCGGGGAGCAAAGCGAACCACGUGUGGUUCAUUGAGAGUACCCGAAGAAAAAGCAUCGGCUAACACCGUGCCAGCAGCCGCGGUAAUACGGUGGAUGCGAGAGUUAUCCGGAUUGAUUGGGUUUAAAGGGAGCGUAGAUGGGUUGUUAAGUCAGUUGUGAAAGUUUGCGGCUCAACCGUAAAAUUGCAAUUGAUACUGGCAGUCUUGAGUACAGAUGAGGUAGGCGGAAUUCGUGGUGUAGCGGUGAAAUGCUUAGAUAUCACGAAGAACCCCGAUUGCGAAGGCAGCUUACUAAACUGUGACUGACAUUGAUGCUCGAAAGUGUGGGUAUCAAACAGGAUUAGAUACCCCUGUAGUC